CUGCGAUUAGUCGACAGCCUUACAUCUGACAUAAGCUAUUUUAUUGCACGUUCUCUCCCAUUGGCUGAGCUAGACCUGUGACAUGCUUGUUCUUAUAGCAGGUGAGAAUAAACCAUCCUACUCCUAAAGCAAUGCACCAGCACCGGUGGCAGAAUGAAUUGUCUGCCUCAGUGGAAAGCAGCACAACUUCCUACUUGGCUCACAGGGAACGUACUACUGCGGAUGUCAGCAAUGAAUGAUGCAGAGAGGACUUAAAUAUGAAGAACUUUGUGGGAUGGGGUGAGGAGCAGGAGUUUGGUCCAGAAUUAAAAAGUAUGAUCUCUGAGGCCAAGGCUGGGGAGUUUGCCUCCUCCCUGAAGGGUAGUGUCCUGCGCUUGCUGCUCGAUGCCGGAUUCCUCUUCUUGUUGCGCUUCUCCUUGGAUGAUACAGUGGAUAAUGUCAUUGCGGCAUCUGUCCGGGCUCUCCAUAUACUGCUGGUGUCCCCUGAAGAUGAGGAGUAUCUUGACCAGACUUUCUCAUGGUACCAGGGGAUGGCUGUGUUCCCCUUCACCCCCAACAGUGAAGAGGAGGAGGAGGAGGAAGAGGAAGAAUUGACUCUAAUGGAAAAAACACAAGGGAAAAAAUCAAAGGUUGAAAACAAGCCAGAUCCAGAUGUGGCCCGGUAUGAUGUCAUAAAGGGGCUUCUGAAGACACAGUUUCUUCAUCGGCUGAGGUACAUCCUUGAGGUGGUGCGACCAGUCCCUGCUGUAGUUCUGGACAUCCUGGAUAUUCUCACCCGGGUAGCAAGGCACUCCUCUGAAGCAUGCAGUCAGCUCCUAGCCUGUCCUCGGCUGAUUGAGACCAUCGUUAGAGAGUUUCUCCCUAUCCAGUGGGAUCCCCGGGCAGCUGAACCAGGCCACUUGCUCACCAGCCUCCAUGGCAUUGCGUGUGCCACCGCCAUGAAGUUAAUCAGAGUCCUGGCAUCUGGGGGGAGGAAUGCAACAGCCAGACUGCUUAAUAAAUUUGAGCUGAAGAGUCGACUGAGUCGGUUUAUAGCUGAAGAUCCCCAGGACCUGCCUCUGCGCAGGGAGGAAGCCAUAAGGCUGAGCACCGAGGCUUUCCGGCUGUGGGCUGUGGCUGCUGGCUACGGUCAGUCCUGUGAUCUCUACAGGGAUCUCUACCCCGUGCUGGUGAAGAUUCUCCAGUCCCUGCCCCACUUGCUCAGUGAUUGCCAGGAAAACCCCACGUUUCCAGUUUCCAUCCAGCGAGCUACAGCUGUGGUCACCCUGCUGACCCAUGUGACUCAAACUGCAGGAUGCACGGCAGAGCUUCAGGCCCGGCUCAGCAGCAGUGGUCCAGGAGAUGGAGAGCAGAUUCCUCCUCCACCAGUCACCUGGAAUCAGGUGUCAGGCCUGAGACCCUUCCUGGAGACCAAUCUGAGGAGGUCUGUCCAGGAAAUCUCCCGACUGGAAACCUGGCAAGCUCUCCAGCCUCUUACAACAACAUACAUCAUCUACUUGGGGGUUUACUACAGCAUUUGCAGCCAACAGCCAUCACUAAAUCCAGUUGACUACCUGGAGGAAGUGGAGCGUUUGACAUCUGAGGUGCUGCUGCCUCUCCUCAGCCAGCCUGCCAUGCACAGAAUGUGGGAUCUGCUCAGGCCGUGCUCUGCUCUAUGCAAUCCCCUGUCCUGUUCCCCAGCAUCAGAGUCUGUCCCCAGCAUUGUGUCUUUGAGUUGCACUGGAGGGAAACCGCAGAUGAGUUUAGUUGGCUCCAAGUCACCCUUCCCCUUCCUCACUGCCCUCCUCUUCCUCAUCAACAACGUCACCCAUAUCCAUAAAGGGCUGGUCAGCAAGUACACCUCUGUGCUAGACUUCAAAGGUCUGAAGGACUACCUGCUCCAGAGCUGGCCCACCAGACCACCCUCCAUAACCCCUUCAUCUGCCUGGAUCCUGCGGCAUGAAUACCAUCUGCAAUACUUUGUGCUAGCAUUGGCUCAGAAAAUGGCAGGCAUUUGUCCGGAUUACACUCAGCACGCCUCGCUCCAUCACUGUGUUGCCAUGGCAUUGUUAAGCCGUCUGUUGCCAGGGAGUGAGCAUCUGGCUCAUGAGCUCCUUUUGGGUCUCGCCUUUAAUCCAGAAUUCAUUCCAGAAGGGAAAACUGGAGGGCCAGAAGCAGCUGAUUUCUCCGAUAUCCUACAUCUGGGUACAAGCACAAAGCUGGCACAGCCUGGCUCAGUGGCCGCAGGUUUCCCCAAACCCCGCCGCGGUGUGUUGCUGGGAGAAUCAUACCAGCAUCUCCCUUUCAUUCGUGCCUGUUACCUCUCUCAGUUUGUUCACUUGGAGCCUGCUCUUGCUCGUUCCCAGGUAGCCUACCAAGGACAAACUUACCUCGUCCAAUCGUUGCUGCUUCCUGAAGUCAAAGGGCCCAUCCUACCUUCUGACUGGCCAUUCCUUCCUCUUAUCAGCCUCUACAACAAAGUGACCAGUGCAGAGACACGGGGGGCUGUACUGAACACUCUUCCACCUGAUCUAGUGAACACUGUGACCCGGAAUCUGCAGUGGGUCCUGCUCCUGGAAACGUGGCGUGCCAGAGUACUUCAGAACAUCCCAGCUGCUGCCAAACUGGCACGGCUUAUGUGUGUGUUCCUCACAGGCGGUGACCUGUUCCUGGAAGGACCUGUUCAUUGCUACACAGCUGCCCUUCUUGCUCUCUAUUGCCAACCCAAAGUCCUGGACUCCCUGGAAUUGGAUGCCCCUCUCCCUGGCUUGGCAUCAUUCCAUGACCUCUAUAUAAGUGUUCUGGAGCAGUUUGAAGGAGUCUCCUUCGGUGACCCCCUUUUUGGAGCCUUUGUUCUCCUUCCUUUGCAGAGGCGGUUCAGCAUUCAGCUGCGGCUGGCAGUUUUUGGGGAGCAUGUGAGCACCUUGAGAGCCCUGGGAGUGCCACUCAAACAGUUUCCUGUGCCGCUGGAGCGAUACACCUUGCCUCCCGAGGACAACCUGAACCUCUUGAGACUGUAUUUCCAAACACUGGUCACUGGUGCGCUGCGUCAUACCUGGUGCCCUGUUCUUUAUGCUGUGGCUGUGGCUCAUGUGAAUAGCUUCAUUUUCUCUCAGGAUAGCACAACACAGGAGGCUGAUACUGCUCGGAAAAGCAUGCUGCGGAAGACCUGGCUGUUGGUGGAUGAGGUAUUGAAAAAGCAUCUUCUCUACUACAAAGUGCCCAACCCAGAGAGCCUGAUGGGCGUUGACCUUUAUGAGCAGCUCCCUCCCAUUCGACUGAAGUACCUGCAAAUGGUGACCAAGAAAGAGCCCAAGGAGAACAUGCAGAUGUCCGACCCAGAGUGAAGCACCUCAGCUACAGAAGGACUGAGGACCAGGAAAGGUCAUUUUAGACAAGCUGAUGAAAAAAUUUAAGUGAACUCCACGGGGUGCAGUGUUGCCUGGGCAUCCUGGCCAUAUUGGCAAAGGGAAAGGCAAAUAAACCCCUUCAGCACUGUGACACCUCACAUGGCUUCUAAGGAUGUGGUUGACCUGCACGUAGCCUAGGUAUGUCUAGUGCUGGAACAUCCUUUUGGAUUCUGACUUGCUGCUUCUUGAGGGCUGGAGAGCGUGAACAAACAUGCCUGUGAAGUGGAAUGAAAUCCUGGUUCUGGUGAGGCCAGAAGACUCAUUACUGGAGAGCUAGUGAAGUGAUGUCAGCAGAGGAGGUAGAAAAGACAAAGUUGAGGAGCAGGGAUUUUAAUUAAACAUGUAAAACUGGGGGCUUGGUUUUUAUCGUUACCACCUAUUUAGUUAAAUACUAA